UACGUAGGUGGCGAGCGUUGUCCGGAUUUACUGGGCGUAAAAAGCGCGCAGGCGGCUGGUCAAGUCCGAUGUGAAAGCUCCCGGCUUAACUGGGAAAUUGCAUCGGAAACUGAUCGGCUGGAAGGUGGGAGAGGGUAGCGGAAUUCCCGGUGUAGUGGUGAAAUGCGUAGAUAUCGGGAGGAACACCAGUGGCGAAAGCGGCUACCUGGCCCAUUCUUGACGCUGAGGCGCGAAAGCUAGGGGAGCGAACAGG
rnacentral:rRNA from 1 species